ACGGGAUCAGCCUUGGCUUCCGGCCUGACGAAUCGAGGAGGGACAUCAGCCGGGUUUGCGAUGGAAGCUGCAAGAGCUUGGACGCUCGGGACGUGAAUGGACGAUCCCAUACGCUGAAAGCUCGAUUUGGCCAUCUCGCGAAGCAAGCGCGCGCACACACACACCCCUUAACGAAGACUAACACCUCUCAGCUCGGUUGGUUUGGUCAGGUAGCAGCUUCGACAACAUUUAUAGAGAGAGAAGCUUCGCUUGGUUGUCUUGCUUCUCAGCCACUAAUCUGCCCACCAUUGUUGUCUACCAAAAAAGCUUAUCUCUUUGUAGUGGAUUUAGUCUCUCAUCAGCCAUAUGAUAGAAAUAAUAGAAGACAAGAACAAUAAUUGAAGAAGCUUUAUUGUAGAAAUGAAAUAGCUUUAGCUUGAAUCUAUUAACAUGUUCCCUCUCCUAUUUAUACAGAUUAGGAGGAAGGAUUUCCCUCAACAGAAUAAACAGAAUAGAGAGAUUUCCUCAUAUAAUUGGGAAAUCUUAUCCUUUAUCAAGUUGGAAAAAUCUUAUCUUCUAUCACCGUCGUCCUACCAAAGACAACUGUAGUAGUUAGUGUGACUUUUUUUGUAACAGUAGCAUAUGCAGAUAGAGUUGCAAGUGAGACUUUGACUUUACAAUGUACUUAAAAAUUGUAGUAAUUUGCUGUCAACUUUUUGUACCAAUAGCAUAUAUCGAACUACAAAGGGAUGAGUGGAAAGUGAGACUUAGUCUAUCCGCUGCAUGCUUACUUAGAAAUGUACUGAUCCGACCAAUAUUAUAAGCCAUGACUCUGCCACAUCAGCUGAUGACAACGUAUCAAAAUAUUAAGACAGUCUCCAUGUGUAAAAAUUUCUUUCUGCUACCUUCUAGAGGAACAUAGUGGCCACCAUUUAAUGUCCUCCUAUAAAGUAGUUCAAUUAUUCCUCACACGUCAGAAACCAAUAUUUUAUGGUUGUAUAAGUUUUAUUGUAUUCGUGUUGUUUCCCACUCGCUUUAGAAAUUUGCACUUAUGGUUGACAAAGCUCCACAUCUUAUCUCCGUAUUAUGUAUAUAUGCUAUUGCUGUCACAGUACUCCGACCACGGAUCGGUGGAUGUGUUGAAUCGAUGGUUCUAAGAUGUAACAUGCAACAAAGGUUGGACGCUCAAGAAUUCAUUCUGCAUUAAACUCUCAUCUUCUUCACUUACAUUAAAAAAUAGAAAAAAAAGACAUCAUGCGUCACCCCAGAAAUCUCAUUGGACAAGAGAGAUAGUAGGUCAAAUAAAAUUCCUCUCUCAUUUCUAUCAAUUCAAGUGUCUGACUUCUUGUCGGUGACGCUUGCUACAGAAAAUGCAGCUAGUUAUUGAUAAGCAUUCCGUGUUAAAAGAAAUAUAUUUUAUCUCACCAUAUGAAUGGAUAAUCUUCGUGUGAAUUGUAUGUCUAGAUUUUAAAUCAUAUAAGACAGACUAACAAAAAUGAGAUUGGACAACAGUGCGUUCCAAGAACUUGAGCUGUUAAGUCGUGCAUCCAAUCUUGGAUGCAAACAUGCUUUUCUUGCGGAUAGGACAGCAAUCACACACCACAUAAAUCAUCAUCGUGCAAGAUUCCAACAAGUUCAUCUUCCCUACCCUAGACACACUAUAGUGUACGAUGAUCUAAUCCUAUUAGCUAUAUUAACAGUAAAAGGUAGCAGCUGGGAGUAAUAAUGAUUAAACAGUCAGCUGUUCGAUUGCAAUAGGAAGAAUGACGUAUAAGAAGAGCAAAGAAAAAUCAUACACGGCACGCUAGGCAAGAGAAUGGAUGCAAAUUGAUUUAUAGUUGUUUAGUCUUUCCGACGUUUCCGAUUCCUCUUCUUUCAAGGUGAUCGACUUUCACUAUCGAUCUUCUUUCUAAUGAGUGAAGAUCAAUUAUCCUUAUUGUAGCUUUUCUCAUUUUAAAUGCUUAAAAUCACUUCUAAACUUAAAGAAAAAAGAAGAUAAACAUUUUUCAAAGAGAGUAGAGUUUAUAACACUUUUAUACUUAAGAAUUUAUACUCUAUCGAGUAAGUAUAAGUGAAGUAUUUAUAAACCUUAAAAGAUUUCAAGAAUAAAAUUAAAAGUUUAAAUUUUUAAAAUUUUAGAGUAUUAACAGUACUAUUAUCGUAAUGGGUCACAAAUCAAAAUUCUGACGGUACUACCAUCAGCCAUCGUCCUACCCUGAAGAAAACUGUAGUAGUUGGCUGUGACCUUUUUGUAACAGUAGCAUAUGCAGAUAGAGUUGCAAGUGAGACUUUGACUUUACAAUGUACUUAAAAAUUGUAGUAAUUUGCUGUCAACUUUUUGUACCAAUAGCAUAUAUCAAACUACAAAGGGAUGAGUGGAAAAUGAGACUUUGUCUUUCCGCUGCAUGGCUACUAAGAAAUGUACUGAUCCAACCAAUAUUACAGGCCAUGACUCUGUCGCAUCAGCUGAUGACAACGUAUCAAAAUAUUAAGACAGUCUCCUCGUGUAAGAAAUUUCUUUCUGCUGCCUUCUACAGGAACAUAGUUGCCUUCUACAGGAAUAUUUUAUGGUUGUAUAAGUUUUAUCGUAUUCGUGUUGUUUCCCACUUGCUUUAGAAAUUUGCACUUAGUGGUUGACAACACUCCCAUAUCUUCUCUCUGUAUUAUGUAUAUAUGCUAUUGCUGUCACAGUACUCCGACCUUGGAUUGGUGGAUGUGUUGAAUCGAUGGUUCUCAGUGUUACGGUAAGUAACUUUUUUGCCGUGACCUCGGGGUCGACGCGGUUGGUUCAGGGCUCCAAAUGGCUGGGAUCAGACGCAGCUCCCCUCGAGACGUUGCUGACGCAGGGGGGCUGGCUUGGAAAGUUCUGCGGCGCCGAAGGGAUCCAACGACGAUCGGGCACCUGCACACAGGUCGGGUCGGUAGCUCGGCCCAACCCCUCCGACGAUCAAGUUAGCGAUAAAGGAGAGGUGUUUCUUUGGGCAGAUCCCCUUGCCCGUUGGGAGCCAGGGGGUAUUUAUAAGCGGGUUUGAUGUUACCUGGUGCACCAAACUGCCGGGGUAGGGUCGUACCUCUGACGGCGUAUGUCAUCGUUGUGGACGUUGCGUGGAAGGCCGAGCUGCCGCAGGGUAUGGAGGGUGUCAGUCAGCGCCUUCGCCUGCCUCGGCCGGCCACAAGGGGUCAGCCGAGGAGGUUGUUCGGGUACAGUGGGUGUGGUCGCGCGUCGAGUCGUCGUUAAUGCUCGUUUUGGGGCAGUGGGCCGCAUAGGGUGUCCGACGUGGGGGUGCAUUACGUCAAAUCCGGGGUGUUACGUCAAAUCAGUUUUUUUUAACCCUAUCACUCAGAUGUAUCGUGCAACAAAGGAAAUUGGCCAAGAGAGAUACUUGGUCAAAUAAAAUUAUUAUUAUUAUUAUUAAAUAUUUACCCGACGCUUGCUACAGAAAACGCACCAAAUUAUUGAUCAAGCAUUCCGUGUCAUGAAGAAAUAUAUUUUAUCUCACCAUAUCAAUGGAUAAUCUUUGUAAGAAUUAUGUGUCUAGUUUUUAAAUCAAAUAAGACAGACUAACAUGAAUGAGAUUGGACAUCGAUGCGAUCCGAGACCCUGAGCUAUUUAGUCGUGCAUCCAACGUUUGAUGCACGAUGAUCUAAGAAUAGUCUACACGCAUGCUUUUCUUGCGGAUAGUAUAGCAAUCACAUCAUGCAAUGUUCCAACAAGUUCAUGUUCCCUAGACAUACUAAUGGUGUACGAUGAUCUAACCCUAGUAGCUAUUUUAACAGUAAAAGGUAGCAGCUGGGAGUAAUAAUAAUUGCACAUUCAUCUGUUUAUACUGCAAAUCGACUGUGUCUCAUUGAAAAGAUGAGAAGGGGAAGGGAACGAGAAGGCACAAAGGACGACUGAUGUCAGAUUAGGAGACACAAUUACUUAGAUGUGUCUUUUAAUGCAAUCAUGGAGCUAAGGAUAGCAGGACGGAUCCGGUCAGCAAGAGCUACUCUUUCUAAGAUCAAGAAGGAUUUCUCCUUCACAUAGCUCUGCAGUUAUUGAUCUACACAAGCAGCAAAACAUGACAGUUUCAGCAAUCGAUUGUAGUUAUCACGGCACAAAUGUGUCGGUGGUGGAUGCGGAUUAACAGAGCACUUAUCUGUCUGAUAACAUUGAUUGAUUUAAGAGGUACAACCAUAAGUAUACCUUACAGAACUGUGUUAUUUGCAGAAUUGUGUUAAAGCAUCGUGAGAGUCCACUUCACAUAGUAAUCAAUUAAAAGUAUUUUUUUUUCCCAGAAGCUACGCUCUCUCUUUUAUAAGAUUUCUCAAUCUUUUAUAACUUAGAAUCACUUUUUAAAGACUCUAACACUUUUUAAGAGAGAGUUUACAAUACUUUUAUACUUAAGAAUUUGUACUCUAUCAAAUAAAAAUAUUUAUAAAUUAUAUUAUAAACUCCAAAAGACUUCAAGAAUGAAACUAAAAAUUUAAAUUCUUAAAAUUUUAAGGUACUGAUGGUACUACUAUUGUAAUGAGACCAUAAAUUGAGGCUUUGAUAGUACUAUCAUCGGCCUAGGCGAUGCUGUUGUCGCCCGAAGAAGGGGCCGUUAGGGACGGCCGAUAUGGUCAACUCGGACCACUUGCCUUUGCAUGCGUCCAGCGCUGGUUUUACGCCAAACAACACUUACAAGACGGCAGCACACACAAUUGGUGGCAAAGCAACGCCUGAGGAGCAUCCAGAACUCCCCUUCCUAAAUUUUGCUUGCAUCCGUAGCAUCUAAAACCUGCUCAAGACUGGAUUUAUGAGAGCAAGGAGAAGAACCAGAUGCUGUUGUUGCAAGUUCAUGUGUUUAAUGAGCAAAGCGAGAGCUCAUCGCAAGGAGCCACCGAGCACGCAAGGUUCCAAGAGCUUCUCCGCCAAUCCCUCCUCUCGACACAUGGUCGUGCGCGUUUGGGGUCUCGGAUCGAAGUCAAAACCCCAUUUCUCCAGAUCGAGGUCAUGGGGAAGACAUAAUUGAACAGGAAGAAGACAAGCGUUAAGCUCGUUUCUAAGCUCAGCGUCGCCGCUCCCCGAUGGUCCGCCAGCGUUGAAAUCCUUGCGUUUUACUCCAAGGUUUGACCGUGCUGCUUAAGCGAAACCACAAGAAAUGUGAAGGAACGAGCCGAUGCCACACAUUUCAACGACAGCUUUCAGAGCAAAUGUGUAUAGGUUCAGCAACCCUGAUAUCUUAAUCCAAGUAACAUCUUCAUUGCUUGAGAAAACAAUGAAUUCAAGUCAAAACUGUUCCCAGAUCGAAACUAUAUUCUCCCUCUAGAUUAAGGAUAUCUAUGUUAGACUAUGAUAUACGAUGAAUUUGCACAAGCAAAGCAUUUAGUCAGAGAGAGAGAGAGAGAGAGAGAGAGAGGAUGUUUGGUGCAGCGGGGACGACGUCAUCGAUCUGACGCUCGGUUGAUGUCGGAUCUCGAUGAUGGAUCCGGUAUCGGAUUUUGGUCGGACCUUAUAUAUAAGUCCCGCUCUAAUUUUGGAUCGGAUCCUGAUCCGACCCUAGUUAUCUUUUGACCUCUCAUGAAUUGGGCCGUAUUUUCGGCUCGGCCCUUUGACAAGUAUCGGGCCGACAUGCCCCGGUUUGGUGUAUUAGAUGUGACGCCCGAUAUCUAUUUAUUUAUUUAUAUUCCAUGUUAGAAUAUUGUUAUCAAAGUCACUGUUCUUAUCGUUUGAUUUUAAUUCAACAGUUAAAAUUACUCCGAUAUUUAUUUAUUUCUUAUCAUUUGUGAGGAUGAGAUUAUUCCUUUACAUGUUGAAGAUUAUGAUUGAAAUCAUAAAAAUAGUUACUUUUAAAGAACAAGGUCACACUAAUGCAAGUGUUCCUUAUCAACUAUGAAAGAAAAUGAUCAUGCAAUACUAUUUAUAUAGUGUAUCAACUAGCCGACUAUUUAUAUAGUGUAUCAACUAGCCGAAAGAAGAACCUUUCCCGUAGUAUCCAUCAUUUUACUAAUUCUUUUUAUCUUUUAUGAUGGAUAAUUAUGAGGAUAAUAUAUAUAUAUAUAUAUAUAUAUAUAUAUAUAUAUAUAUAUAUAUAUAUAAAAGAGAAUUUUUAGUAUUUUCUUUCUGUUGAAGAAAAUAAUUAAAAAAUAAAAAUAAUAAAUAUAAAAUGAAUAAUAAAUCCCAUAAUAUCGAUGGCCUCAAAAAUAGAUAAAUGGAAAUGAUGAUGCAAUAGUAAAAAGUUUUUUUUUUUAAGUUAGCAAUGUAGAAUUAUGGACCUUUAGUUUUGAACUAAGGACAUAGAAAAGUUCAAUGGGACUCCGAGGUAGAGGGUCUAUCUUUCGGAGCAUUAUCUAUAUUAAGAUUGAUGUAAAGAGAAUUUUUUGACUUGGUCACUAUAAUGCUCAAGUUAAUGGUCGAGAAUUUAACGAAUAUGAGUUUUUUUUUUUUUUUCAAGGAAGAGAGACUCCGACAUUGUGCUAGGGUUAGCUUUUAUAUAUAGCCCAUUGAAAGGGUAGCCUCUAAUUGUCCCAAUAUUUCCUUUUAUAUUUUGUCCAUAUGGGCAACAAGAGGGAGACAAACUCAAUCGAUCUCUCUUAGACUCUUAUCAAAUGGGUGCAAACAAGCGAAUGGUGAUAUGGGCCUUUCCCAUCAGACUAACCUCCAUAUGGUGAUUAGAUGUCUGAUUAAAUGUCGAAUAAUGAUUGAUCAUCAAUAUAUUAUCUAUUAAAAUGUAAUAUAUUUUUACCUUCAAAUAUUUACUUCACAUUUUAUUUCAUGUUUGUUGAUAAGAUUAACAUGUCAUGAUUCAUGAUUACGAGAAACCAUCACCUCACACAAGGGAAGCUUUCGAGAGAGGAUCUCUCGAAAAUCCAUAUUUGUCAUGGAUCCUUCUAUCAUAUUGGAUGAAAAAAUCACUCUCUUCUCUUGCCUUCGAUGACAAAGACCAUCUCUUAUCGUACAAGGGGUUUGGUCAUUCAUCAACUUGGAUCAAUUACACACUUCUCUUGAUUGAGUACAAGAGAGAGAGUACGGUAGGAGGACUCUAUAAAUUAAUAACAAUGUCAUCUCUAUCAACAAGAAAUUCAGAGUGUCGAAGUCAAGAGUGUUUUUCAAGUUGAGCUUUAUUUAAGCUCAGACCAAGUUUUGAUGGAAGAUGAUGUUACUAAAGAAAUUAAGAGAACAACCUAAUAUGAAACCAAGGAUAUGACGAUUGUAGUAGACCGUCAUGUCUUUAGCAAAAACUAUAUUUAGAACAAGUUCCUCCUUGGUUUUUAUCAUUUUAGGAGAGUAUCGACUUCAACCGUUGACGAAGCUCAUAAGAUCUUAACCAUGUAAGUUACUAGGCUCAUCAAUGUGGGAAUCACAAUGAUACAACUUCGUAACCCAAUAAUAAAUCAAUGGUUGAUAGAUGAACGACGUUUUUAUUUUGGUAUAUUCACGUUACUGUGAAGAUGAUCAUCUAAUAAUUAUUAUUAUUGCUUUGUAGACUCAAAUUGCACUCAGUUUAAGUGCCUCAAGCCAACUUAUGCUUAUACUUCAUUAUUAACAUUUUUUUUUGGGAAAAAAGUAAAUAAUUUAUGAAUCUACUUAUCUAAAAAAAUAAAAAAAAUCAUUACAUCAAAUAAUGUACAUUCAGAUUUAUUACUUAUGCAACAAUACAUUAACCAAUCGGAAUAACACAACAAACACUAAGCCAACUCACUUUAAACGUACAAAGAUUCACACUAGAUAUUUAUUUGAUGCUUAUAAAGAAGAUACCGAAACACACUUAUUAUCAAGUUCAAGCAACACACCAUAAACUUUCUAUCAUUAGAAGCUUCUAUAGCUUGAGGCUUUCCAUGAGCCUCCUCCCUUCUAGUUUUGUGGAUAAAUAAGCUUUCAUGAACUCUCCAUAGCUCAUCGACACAUAUUUUGGAUUGCACCCCUUCACGAUCUCUGCAAGAGGACCAACCACCGCCGAAUAUUCUCUUGGCCCAUGGAAGGUAGCAAUCGAGAGACGCUCUUCCUUGACGUUUAUUAUCGCCUGAUGCUCGACGCUUUUGUACACACCAUUGCUCAAUAUCUAUUCCAAAAAUCUUUUGUUUUUGUUAGAAAAUAUUUAUAUGUAAGAAGAGAUUGAAAAAAAAAUCAAAAUAAUAAUUUUACAUUAGUAAAUAUUGAGAGAAUCUCGUAAUCUAUAAACAUAAUUUAUUUUUGAAUUGAAUUAGUGUCGCAUAUGAUUGAUAUAUGUUGAUUCUGACUAGAUUAAGUCGAGUUAAUGACCUCGAUGAUAUCACCGAUGUUAGCGAUGAGAGCGCCGGGGAGUGGCUUCACGGGGAACCAAUUCCCCCUCUUCCUGAUAUGGAGUCCUUCAACGUCGUUCACCUGUAGGAGUAACGUCAAGCCGCUGCCGUCCGUGUGUGGUGAGAGGCCCAACACCUCGUCAGCUCUUGGACAUGGGGGAUAAUAGUUGAACCUCACUGCCUGCGUUUGGUCCUGAAAUAUAGAAGAGAACUCCUCCGGUGCGACCCCCAGAUUCUUCGCCAUCACCUCCAGCAAAGUUCCUGCCACGCUCUUCAGCUCCAUGGAGUAGCAAGAGAGAGAGUCUCUGACGGCAUGAAGCAGCAGCAAAGGACGUCAUAUACGUACGUACGUAGAUGAACCGCUGAGUAGAUGAUAGCACAAGUAAUCGAGAUAAACCUGAAAGUGAGAGGUUGAGCGGGCCAGAGAUCGAUGUUCCUCGAGUGCAGUGGUCGAGUUAUGAGGGACAGCAUGUCCGCCCAGUCCAGCUUUUGGUCGUCAGACAUGACGAAGGCUUGGCCGUAACCUUCCAAGCUGUUCGGCAACUGCGCAAAUGCCUUCUUCUCUUCCAAGGGAAGCUUAAAGAAUUCUACUAUAUCAGCCUUGAUCUUCUCCAUCACUUGAUCGGGAACUCCGUGAUUUAUCAACUGUUAGUUAGCAUCAACGAUUGUUAUGUUGCAGCUAUGGAUCACACGGUUUCGAUGCGUAGAUCGACUGACCUGGAAGAAGCCCCAGUCUGCACAGGCAUGGUGGAGCUUAGCAUACUCUUCCUUAGAGAAACGGUGAUGGAGGAGCCUGGAGAAAUCGAUGACCGGAAGCUCGCUGUCGCCGUCGCUAACGACGGGAUCAGCCUUGGCUUCCGUCCUGACGUAUCGAGGAGGGACGUCAGCCGGGUUUGCGAUGGAAGCUGCAAGAGCUUGGACGUUCGGUACGUCAAUGGACGUUCCCAGACGCUGAAAGCUCGGUUUGGCCAUCUCGCGAGGCAAGCGCGCGCACACACCGCUUACGAAGACUAACACCUCUCAGCUCGGCUGGUU
rnacentral:lncRNA from 1 species